rnacentral:lncRNA from 1 species
UUAGCAAAUGAAGGGUAAUUACGUCAAAACACUGUUAAUGAACAGUGCCUUUCUGUUGGGUUUUAGUAUAUGUAUAAUAUCCAUUCAAGAAUGAUGAUUUCAAGUUUAAGAACAGCAUAUCCAAUCAUGAAUAAUAAUAUAUGUGAAGGAAUACCAAAUGGCAAUCGAAAUUGAGUAGGAAACAUAUAUGGGCAGCAAAAUCCUGGGAUAAAACAUUUU